UGUGCUACAAAGGGCAUGGCCUGAGAAGU
rnacentral:piRNA from 1 species